UUAUUUUCGUGUCGUAUCACCAUGUCGCAUCAGAAACUGCCGGUUGUACUAGCCUACUAGCCCUAGUAUUUUAUUAUAUAUAUGAAAGAGUUUGGGUGGAUUCAAUCAAGAUUUGUGAGUAAAGAUUGAUUUAUAUAUGCAAAGGAUUUUAUGAUAUGUUUUAUGACUAAGAUUGAUUGAUUUAUAAUCAUAUAUGUUGUAUUAUUAUCAUUCACACGAGUUUCGUAGCUUAUUCGAAUUUUUGCUUUGCGAGGUGCACCGUUUCCAUGAUUAAUUGGAGAGUACAUGUAGUUGUUAGAGAUAUAGGAUAUCAAGGGUGCAGCUGGUGUGUGCAGUGUGGUCGAGAAUAAGGUUUGUUACCUUUUAUUGUAAUUUCGUUUCCACUUAUUAUUUGUGAUGUACUUCUAAUAAACUCUAUGUAAUUAUCGUA
rnacentral:lncRNA from 1 species